rnacentral:rRNA from 1 species
AUUUGGGAAUAAACGUAAUAAAUCUGACACAAGUGGGUUAGUAGAAAAUACUGAAACGAUAAAAAAAUAUAGUUAAAGGAACUCGGCAAAAUAAUUCCGUAACUUCGGGAGAAGGAAUACUUUAUAAGUAACAAAAAAGAAAAGGUGGCGACUGUUUACUAAAAACACAGGACUUUGCAAAAUUUUAUAAUGUUGUAUAAAGUCUGACGCCUGCCCAGUGCUGUAAGAUGAAAAAUAAUAAAUUUUAAUGUUUAUUACGAUAAGUCCCAGUAAACGGCGGCUGUAACCCUGACGGUCCGAAGGUAGCGAAAUUCCUUGGCGGGUAAGUUCCGUCCUGCACGAAUGGCGUAACGACUGCCUUACUGUCUCUAACUAUAAUUUAGCGAAAUUAAAAAUUAGGUGAAAAUGCCUAAUUAAAAUAGCGGGACGGAAAGACCCUAUGCACCUUUACUAGAAUCUUAUAUUGACUU